rnacentral:rRNA from 1 species
UACGUAGGUGGCGAGCGUUGUCCGGAUUUAUUGGGCGUAAAGCGCGCGCAGGCGGUCGCGUAAGUCUGCUGUGAAAUCUCACAGCUUAACUGUGAAACUGCAUUGGAUACUAUCCGGCUCGAGGAAUGGAGGGGAGACUGGAAUACUUGGUGUAGCAGUGAAAUGCGUAGAUAUCAAGUGGAACACCAGUGGCGAAGGCGAGUCUCUGGACAUUUCCUGACGCUGAGGCACGAAAGCCAGGGGAGCAAACGGG